rnacentral:tRNA from 1 species
UCCCUAGUGGCUCAGAUGGUAAAGCGCCUGUCUGCAAUGCAGGAGACUCGGGAUCCAUCCCUGGGUUGGGAA